AUCUAGGCUCUUGCAUCGAUGAAGAACGUAGCGAAAUGCGAUACUUGGUGUGAAUUGCAGAAUCCCGUGAACCAUCGAGUCUUUGAACGCAAGUUGCGCCCGAUGCCAUUAGGUUGAGGGCACGUCUGCCUGGGUGUCACAUAUCGAAGCCACCUGCCAAUUUC
rnacentral:rRNA from 1 species